ACAUAGAAGUAAAAUUUACAUUUAGUUUCGACCUAAAAAUAGGGUAACCCAUGUU
rnacentral:tRNA from 1 species